UAGAUAAAAAAUUAUACAGUUACGAUGAUAUGAGCUCUUUAGAAUUGAGUGAGUUAUCGUUUGAAUGGUAUAAUCUAACAGAUAAAAAUAGUUAAAUGAUUAAAUCUAACAAUAUAAAACUCGGUAGCGCCAAGCGUUUGAUGCUAUCGAUAAUAUUCCAGCCGGACUCUAUGGCACUGUGUGGUUUGGGAAUAGGGAUAGGGAUAAGCCCUUAUCCCCUCCUUUAUACCCAAACGCUAAUUUUUUACCCGAGAAUAGUAGUUCUCGGUUAUCCCCACCAACAACUCCAUUUUCUAUAUAAAACUUCCUAAUAUUUUUCUUAUCCUCGGGAACAACCCAAUUUUCAUCCAAACGCUAUUUUUCUUAUCCCUAUACUUGUACCUAUCCUUGUAAUAGCUAGUUCUUGCUUAUACCCGAACCAAACGGUACCUAUAUGUAUAUAUACAACUAGGCUGGAAGACUAUCAAUAGCACCAAGCGCUUGGUGCUAUUAGAUUUUUCGGCCCUUAGAUAAAAAAAUAUACGGUUACGAUGAUGUGGACUUUAUAGGGUUGAGUGAGUUAUUGGUUGAAUAGUAUAAUCUAACGGAUAAAAAUAAUUAAAGGGUUAAAUCUAACGAUAGAAAACUCGGUAGCAUCAAGCGCUUGAUGUUAUCGAUAGUAUCCCAGUCGGACUUACUCAACCCUAGGUGGCUCACAUCAUCUUAACCGUAUAUUUUUUUAUCUAAAGGCCAAAAAUCUAAUAAUAUCAAGCGCUCGGUGCUAUCGAUAGUAUAACAACCUAAUUCUAUACAUAUAUAUAUAUAUAUAUAUAUAUAUAUAUAUAUAUAUAUAUAUAGAAUUAGGCUACUAUACUAUCUAUAGUACCGAGCUCCGGUACUAUAGUGUUUGUUUUCGAUCUUAGGGCAUUCAAAUCAACGAUCCACACCGUUAAAUAUGAUCUAGGGUAUAUGAAUUUCUUAGGAAUAAAAUUUUAGUUUUUUUCGAUAUCGUUUACUUAGUAAAUAAAUUAUAUCAAAAUGGACGGUGGAAAUUGAAUAAUCUUUAAAAUUUGAGCAUAGGACUUUUAAAUUCAAGAUCAAGAAUGUUAACCUUAAUCUAUAUAGUUUAAAGUAUUUUCUAUCAAAAUUUGAAGAAAUUUAGAUUCUUCUACACCGUUAAACUCCAAACUCGUCAUAAUAGCCAUUGAAAAUUGACAAUUUUGAAAUAGUUGAUCAUAAAGUAAACUAUGUCGAAAAAAUAUAAAAUUUUAUUUCUAGAAACUUUAAAUACCCUAGAUCAGUUUUAACAGUGUGGAUCGUUGAUUUGAAUGCCCUAAGAUCGAAAACCAACACUAUAGUACCGGAACUCGGUACUAUAGAUAGUAUAGUAGCCUAGCUCUAUAUAUAUAUAUAUC
rnacentral:lncRNA from 1 species